CAGCGCUCGGCGCCGCCGCGCUGCCGGGCCCUGCGCGGGGAACGAGAGCCGUGAGCGCACCGAGGGACCCGCUGGGAGCGCCGCAGCCGCCCCGCUCCACAGCCCCUUCCCAGGGAGCGCACUGCUGGAUCACCAGGCAACUUUAUAUGCACAGGAAAGGCUUCAGUGAGGCUGACAUGCACAGUGGAAGACUCCUGCAGCUUUAAGGAAAACCAAUCAGCCAUCCAGUAACUGGAAUUCACAGGACCUUGAAAGUAUACAUCCUGGCUUGAAACCGCAGUAGCGGCACUUAUCAACCCCCUGGACCUGGCACUG